UACGGAGGAUCCAAGCGUUAUCCGGAUUUAUUGGGUUUAAAGGGUGCGUAGGUGGCCUGUUAAGUCAGGGGUGAAAGACGGUAGCUUAACUAUCGCAGUGCCCUUGAUACUGAUGGGCUUGAAUGAACUAGAGGUAGGCGGAAUGUGACAAGUAGCGGUGAAAUGCAUAGAUAUGUCACAGAACACCAAUUGCGAAGGCAGCUUACUAUGGUUUUAUUGACACUGAGGCACGAAAGCGUGGGGACCAAACAGG
rnacentral:rRNA from 1 species